UGAAUACGAGACGCUAAGGCGUCGAAGUAGUGUAUGUCAUACUUCCAAGAAAAGCUUGCACUGUCAUAGAUAAAAAACGCCUGUACCAUAACCGACACAGGUGGGUAGGUAGAGUAUACUAAGGGGCGCGAGAUAACUCUCUCUAAGGAACUCGGCAAAAUAACUCCGUAACUUCGGGAGAAGGAGUGCCUUAUUCGUAAGGUUGCAAUAACAAGAUCCAAGCAACUGUUUAUCAAAAACACAGGUCUCCGCUAAGUCGUAAGACGAUGUAUGGGGGCUGACGCCUGCCCAGUGCCAGAAGGUUAAAGAAGUUGGUUAGCAAUUGCGAAGCUGAUAACUGAAGCCCUGGUGAACGGCGGCCGUAACAAUAACGGUCCUAAGGUAGCGAAAUUCCUUGUCGGGUAAGUUCCGACCCGCACGAAAGGCGUAAUGAUUUGGAUACUGUCUCGGAGAGGGGCUCGGUGAAAUAGACUUGUCUGUGAAGAUGCGGACUACCUGCACCAGGACAGAAAGACCCUAUGAAGCUUUACUGUAACUUGAAAUUGAAAUUGGACUUUAUUCGCGCAGUAUAGGUGGGAGGCGUUGAUUAUAAUCUUGUGGGAUUAUUGGAGCCAUCAGUGAGAUACCACUCUUGUAAUGUUAGAUUUCUAACUUUGAAUCAUUAUCUGGUCAAAGAACAGUUUCAGGCGGGCAGUUUGACUGGGGCGGUCGCCUCCUAAACGGUAACGGAGGCGUACAAAGGUUUCCUCUGAACGGUUAGAAAUCGUAUCUAGAGUGUAAAGGCAUAAGGAAGCUUGACUGUGAGACCUACAAGUCGAGCAGGGACGAAAGUCGGUCUUAGUGAUCUGACGGUACUGAGUGGAAAGGCCGUCACUCAACGGAUAAAAGUUACUCUAAGGAUAACAGGCUGAUCUCCCCCAAGAGUUCACAUCGACGGGGAGGUUUGGCACCUCGAUGUCGGCUCAUCGCAUCCUGGGGCGGUAGUACGUCCCAAGGGUUGGGCUGUUCGCCCAUGAAAGCGGUACGCGGGCUGGGUUCAGAACGUCGUGAGACAGUUCGGUCCAUAUCCGGUGUAGGCGUUAGAAUAUUGAGAGGAGCCUUCUUUAGUACGAGAGGACCGAGAAGGACAUACCUCUGGUGUACCAGUUAUCGUGCCAACGGUAAACGCUGGGUAGCUAUGUAUGGAGUGGAUAACCGCUGAAAGCAUCUAAGUGGGAAGCCCACCUCAAGAUAAGUAUUCC
rnacentral:rRNA from 1 species